AGACCCGAAACCCGGUGAUCUAGCCAUGGGCAGGUUGAAGGUUGGGUAACACUAACUGGAGGACCGAACCGACUAAUGUUGAAAAAUUAGCGGAUGACCUGUGGCUGGGGGUGAAAGGCCAAUCAAACCGGGAGAUAGCUGGUUCUCCCCGAAAGCUAUUUAGGUAGCGCCUCGUGAAUUCAUCUCCGGGGGUAGAGCACUGUUUCGGCUAGGGGGCCAUCCCGGCUUACCAACCCGAUGCAAACUGCGAAUACCGGAGAAUGUUAUCACGGGAGACACACGGCGGGUGCUAACGUCCGUCGUGAAGAGGGAAACAACCCAGACCGCCAGCUAAGGUCCCAAAGUCAUGGUUAAGUGGGAAACGAUGUGGGAAGGCCCAGACAGCCAGGAUGUUGGCUUAGAAGCAGCCAUCAUUUAAAGAAAGCGUAAUAGCUCACUGGUCGAGUCGGCCUGCGCGGAAGAUGUAACGGGGCUAAACCAUGCACCGAAGCUGCGGCAGCGAACGUAUCACUUAAAGCGAUUCAGCGGGUUACGAUUGACGGAGCGAAGCGACGUCAAAGCGUAUACAAAGUCGAGUCGGUUUAAGGAUACGUUCGUUGGGUAGGGGAGCGUUCUGUAAGCCUGUGAAGGUGUGUCGUGAGGCAUGCUGGAGGUAUCAGAAGUGCGAAUGCUGACAUAAGUAACGAUAAAGCG
rnacentral:rRNA from 1 species